AUGGCCACAUCACAUUGAAACACCAGUUCCUGUACAAUCACUGAAGUUAAGCAAUGUUGAGUCUGGUCAGUACCUAGAUGGGUGACCACUUGAGAAUACCAGGUAUUGUAAG